rnacentral:rRNA from 1 species
UACAGAGGGUGCGAGCGUUGUUCGGAAUUAUUGGGCGUAAAGGGCGCGUAGGCGGCGCGGUAAGUCACCUGUGAAAUCUCCUGGCUCAACUGGGAGCUUGCAGGCGAAACUGCCGUGCUGGAGUGUGGGAGAGGUGCGUGGAAUUCCUGGUGUAGCGGUGAAAUGCGCAGAUAUCAGGAGGAACACCGGUGGCGAAGGCGGUGGUCUGGGCCGGCACUGACGCUGAGGAGCGAAAGCGUGGGUAGCAAACAGG